AUUGAACGCUGGCGGCAGGCCUAACACAUGCAAGUCGAGCGGCAGCGGAAGGAAGCUUGCUUCCUUGCCGGCGAGCGGCGGACGGGUGAGUAAGGUAUGGGGAUCUGGCCGAAGGGGGGGGAUAACCACUGGAAACGGUGGCUAAUACCGCAUAAUCUCUAAGGAGCAACGUGGGGGACCGUUCAGGCCUCACACCUUCGGAUGAACCCAUAUGAGAUUAGCUAGUAGGUGGGGUAAUGGCUCACCUAGGCGACGAUCUCUAGCUGGUCUGAGAGGAUGAUCAGCCACACUGGGACUGAGACACGGCCCAGACUCCUACGGGAGGCAGCAGUGGGGAAUAUUGCACAAUGGGCGCAAGCCUGAUGCAGCCAUGCCGCGUGUAUGAAGAAGGCCUUCGGGUUGUAAAGUACUUUCAGUCGUGAGGAAGGUGUUAAGGUUAAUAACCUUAGCAAUUGACGUUAGCGACAGAAGAAGCACCGGCUAACUCCGUGCCAGCAGCCGCCGUAA
rnacentral:rRNA from 1 species